rnacentral:rRNA from 1 species
AACGAACGCUGGCGGCGUGGAUUAGGCAUGCAAGUCGAACGCGAAAGCCCCUUCGGGGGCAAGUAGAGUGGCGUCCGGGUGAGUAACACGUGGGUAAUCUACCUCUGGGUGGGGAAUAACUCGCCGAAAGGCGGGCUAAUACCGCAUAAUGCAGCGGCACCGAAUGGUGAUUAGUUGUUAAAGCGGGGGACCUUAGGGCCUCGCGUCUGGAGAGGAGCCUGCGGCAGAUUAGCUUGUUGGAGGGUAAUGGCCUACCAAGGCUGCGAUCUGUAGCUGGUCUGAGAGGACGGCCAGCCACACUGGCACUGACACACGGGCCAGACUCCUACGGGAGGCAGCAGUGGGGAAUUUUGCGCAAUGGGCGAAAGCCUGACGCAGCAACGCCGCGUGAGGGAUGAAAUAUUUCGGUAUGUAAACCUCGCAAAUAUGGGAAGAACACAAUGACGGUACCAUAUGUAAGCCACGGCUAA